UGAAACAUGAGGAUAUUUGGUGAGAGAAAUUUGUCAGCAGAAUUCUCUAUGCUGGAUAGUGACUGAUAAGCUAAAUCUUCUCUCUAUUCUUUGGCAUUUGCGAUGUGAGACCCAAGAAAAUGUGGCAGUUUAGAGCAGCCAAGUUGAAGCAAUCCUAAUUUCAGCCAGAAAUAGGAGCCCAUGUAUAGAAACCAUGGGCCGUGGGGAUGGUGGAACUAAUUGUUUCUGUAGGGAACACGGUUUGAGGGUCCUUGGCCUCUGCUGUCUUCAAUGAGUUUCCUGUUCUGCAUGAUACCAGGAUGCAUACUUGAUGUCUAGAAUGCCAGCAGCCAUCCUGUGACUAUGGGACAAAUGUGAGGGCGGAAGCCAAGGACUGAGCAUGGCAGAACAGAAAGAUAGAAACAACCUUUGUCCCUAAUGGCCUGGUAGAUUUGUGCUAACAAUGCCUUACUGCCUACCACUCUUGUUUUUACAUGAAAGAGUAAGCUACUAUUCAUUGAGUCACUUUACCCUGGUCUCUACUUCUGGCAGGCAAACAGAGGUCCUUUUUCUUUAUUCCACAUCAGCCAUGUCAAGGCAGACUGAAUGGAAUUUAAGAAUAGCAUUAGAGGAUUCAUGACCUAAUUGAUGAGGAAUUGUUCUGUUGGACACAGACAUCCCUAAAGUCCAAAGGCCAUGCUUCCUACUCCUCUCUGUCACCAAGUUGCUGGGAUCUGUUACUACUCAGAGAGAUCCUUCUCUUUUAAUUCCUCGUUUCCUUCUCUCUUUCUGGUCCUCAUAAAUAGAAAUGGGUGGAAAAAUACCUUAACAUACAAAUAUAUUUUCUGCAGAAAUCUAUUCAAGCCAUUAAUGGGUUAUUUGCAUAAUUUUCAUCAUUAAUUAGUUGAAACAUUUGCAUUUGGACUCAUUCACAAGUGCCUGGGGCUCCUCCAUGGACAGUGAUCCCACACUUGACUUACUUCUCAGUGGCCAGGACAGCUCUGUCAAGGAAUCCUUCUCAGAACAGAAAGUAUCUAUACUCAACCCUGAAAAAUCCAGUUUUCACCUUUAUACUCCUGGAAGCAAAUGUUGGCAAUUGAAGAAUAACUCAUUUCCUUCUAGCUGGCAAGGCUUCAGAAAUAAUCAAGUACGUUCUCUGAGCGCCCCUCCACAUGCAUCUCUCUGGUGGCAAGGAGAUCCUGAGACAUUUUAUUGAGAAAGCAAUGGAAAAUGGAAGUAACUGUGUGUAUUGAUCAAAUAAUACUGAUUUAAAAUAACAAAGCAUCACUAACAUUUUUUUGAUGAAUAUAGUUAUAUCCCGUUGAAUGAGAAAGGAAAAAAAUCCUUCAGUAUUUGUGGGUAUGGCCAUAUGUUCCUGACUAUGACUUCCCUACCACAAAAACUACCAACUACAAUUCCUGUCUCACAGAUUUUUUUUUAAUUUUAUGAACUCUUUCUAUAUAUGUCUCCUAUAAACUGUAAUCUCUUCAUAAAAAAGGAAUAUUUUCACCCUGAUUCUAGCCAAGGUCUCAGAAGUGGAAGUAAAUGAUGAGAAUUAAUUUUAACUUUAACAAUACAGACAGAGCAUAUUGUUUUAUACACCAAGAAAAUGAAAAACAAUACUCACUGAACUUGGUUACCACUGAAAUCUGUAUCAAGUUACAACAAUAAACAAAAGAACUCUUAAUGAUAAGUAGGGCAUAAGAUAAAAACAAACUGUAAGUUGUUCUUUCUAAUUUGCCUUUAAGACACAAGAGUAGUGUAACAUGAAACGGUAACACUGACAAAAAUAACCUAUUAGUCAACUUUUCUGUUUUUCAAUUUUCAAACUCAACGUGCUGUUAAAGUUUAAUUUAAAAAUAGUUAUAGCUAUUAAAUGUCUCCAAAGCAAGCAACUUACCUGAAACUUGCUCAAAACUACUAUGGAGAAAGGAAAGGAACCAGUGUUCAUUUGGUUUCUUUUGUAUUCCAAGCUUUUUACCUUAGUUGUUUCCAUUUAAUUUUCAAAACAAUUCUGCAAAGGAGACAUACUUAACACUAUUACACAUGGGACGAAAUUGAAGCUCAACUAGAGGCAGUUUACCACGUUCAAAUAACUGGUAUAUUUUCAGUGCAAAUUCUUAGAGGAAUAACAAGGUCUCCUUGGGGAAAUGCCUAACUUUGGGCCUGAAACAGGAAAGAUAUGAGGUAACCUGAAUAUCUUGUGAUAGAAAGUAAGAAAGUGCUCCAAAAGUGAUAGGAGCAUGACAAAAAGACACCGGAGCAAGUUUGAAUGAGUUCCAACUGGUCAAAUCAGGAACAAUUUGAGCACCAAAAUAAAUAAGUGUCCAAGGCUGAAUGUGAAAGCACCUUUGUCACAUAUGGACCAGUUCCCCUCCACAAAGGAAGUUUUGUUCUGCAGCUCCGUUCAGCAACCCAUCAAGUGCUUGGUUCUCUACCUUUUGACAACAGAGGAUAUUGUUAUGAUUUUGAGUUUUUGCCUAUU
rnacentral:lncRNA from 1 species